CUGCAACUCGACUCCAUGAAGUCGGAAUCGCUAGUAAUCGUAGAUCAGAAUGCUACGGUGAAUACGUUCCCGGGCCUUGUACACACCGCCCGUCACACCAUGGGAGUGGGCUGCAAAAGAAGUGGGUAGUUUAACCUUUCGGGGAGGACGCUCACCACUUUGUGGUUCAUGACUGGGGUGAAGUCGUAACAAGGUAGCCCUAGGGGAACCUGGGGCUGGAUCACCUCCUUAUACGAAGAU
rnacentral:rRNA from 1 species